rnacentral:rRNA from 1 species
CUACGGGUUGCUGCAGUGAGGAAUAUUGCACAAUGGGGGGAACCCUGAUGCAGCAACGCCGCGUGGAGGAUGACGCAUUUCGGUGUGUAAACUCCUUUUAUGAGUCAAGAAAAUGACGGUAGCUCAUGAAUAAGCACCGGCUAACUCCGUGCCAGCAGCCGCGGUAAUACGGAGGGUGCAAGCGUUACUCGGAGUCACUGGGCGUAAAGGACGCGUAGGCGGGAUAACAAGUCAGGUGUGAAAUCCUACAGCUUAACUGUAGAACUGCACUUGAAACUGGUAACCUAGAGUAUGGGAGGGGGAGAUGGAAUUAGUGGUGUAGGGGUAAAAUCCGUAGAUAUCACUAGGAAUACCUAAAGCGAAGGCGAUCUCCUGGAACAUAACUGACGCUAAGGCGUGAAAGCGUGGGGAGCAAACAGGAUUAGAUACCCUAGUAGUC